CUUAAAGGCGUGAAAGGAAGAGAGAAAGGUUCUCUCUUAUGCGUGGAAAAAUUGAGAAGAAGGGGUUCUUCUCUUGAUCUCUAUUAUAGAGAUCUGAUGCAUGAAUCCAGAAAGAAAAGCAGAGGGUCUCCUUAUUCUUCACUUUUAUGAUUCCUCCUAGAUCAGCCAAAGCAUGAUGUCCUCAUGAGCUAGCACUCUCGGG
rnacentral:lncRNA from 1 species